GCUUCCCCCAUCCUCUUCCUCUCCACCAUGGGCAUCCACACGGCCCCCACCUUCCUCCUCCUCCUCUUCCUCGCCGCCCUCCCAGGGCUGCGCGCGGCCGUGCAACUGGUCGAAUCCGGAGGGGGUCUCCAAACACCCGGGGGGUCCCUGCGCCUCCUCUGCAAGGCCGCCGGCUUCGCUUUCGGCAAGAGCGACAUGGUUUGGGUUCGGCACGCCGCCGGCAAAGGUUUCCAGUGGGUCGCCGGUCUUUGCAGCGGCGGCGAUAACACCGGUUACGCGCCGGCGGUCAGCGGGCGCUUCACCGUCUCGAGGGACAACUCCCAGAACACGCUCGCGUUGCAGAUGAACAGCCUCAGGGCCGACGACACGGCCACCUACUACUGCGCGAAAGCUGCUCACGGUGACGCCGGGACGGUGCGCCGCCGGCCAAAAAAAAAGAAAAAAAAAAAGAAUAGAAGCCGCCGGCUGACACGGGGCGGGGGGAAGCGGAGGGUAACGAGGCUUGACAACUUGCGGCCCCGUUUGGACGCGCUUGAGCGGUUGCGGCGGUUGCGUGGGGGUUUUGCUCGGCGCUCGAGAGCCUGGCGAAGCGCCCAAGCGAACUUGUGCGGAGGGUGA